UUACGCGAUACUACGGCAGUUUUAUUUUGAAGGGGUCAAUAUUCACUUCCAGUUGAAGAAGACAGGAGAAAGCCUGUGUGGCGUUUUAAACCUUUGAGGACAUGGCAGCCAAUGGAGCAAGCUGUGACCAGUCUCAGAAACGUGUGAGAGCGAAAGACAAACACAAUGGGAAGGCUAUGGUAAGAGAGAGACGACAUAAAGAUAAAGAGGAGCGAAUGUCACUGGUGUUAUGGAGAAGGCCAGUCACCACACUACAAUACUUGUUCUAG